CUACGGAGGGUGCACGCGUUAAUCGGAAUUACUGGGCGUAAAGCGUACGUAGGCGUUUCGUUAAGUUAGAUGUGAAAGCCCCGGGCUUAACCGGGGAACUGCAUUUAAAACUGGCGAACUAGAGUUGAGUAUAGGGGAGUGGAAUUUCAGGUGUAGCGGUGAAAUGCGUAGAGAUCUGAAGGAACACCAGUGGCGAAGGCGACUCCCUGGACUCGAACUGACGCUGAGGUACGAAAGCGUGGGUAGCAAACGGGAUUAGAAACCCUAGUAGUCC
rnacentral:rRNA from 1 species